GCCUGGGUAGCUUAGUGGUUGAGCGUCUGCCUUCAGCUCAGGGUGUGAUCCUGGGGUCCCAGGAUCAAGCCCUGGAUCCGGCU
rnacentral:tRNA from 1 species